GUCCCCUGUGGGCGUUUGAAAAAUGUGGCGUUUAGGAGGUGGCGUGUCGGAGCUGGGCUGCGCAGCAAGUCCCCCUGACCGGGGCUGUUACCCAGAGUGGGUGCGAGGCCCAUAGCUGUGCAGCUCGUUUCGGAUGCGACCUCUUUGGAGUCGGGUUGCUUGGGAGUGCAGCCUUAAGUGGGUGGUAAACUCCACCUAAGACUAAACACGGCCGUGAGACCGAUAGCAAACAAGUACCGUGAGGGAAAGUUGCAAAGAACUUUGAAGAGAGAGUUCAAGAGUACGUGAAACUGUUCAGAGGCAAACGGGUGGGCUCUCGAAAUCCUCCAGCAGGGGGAUUCAGUUGGCUGAAGCUUGGGCAGCGAUCAUUGGACUCUGUCUGGAGCCGUGAUGCUGCUGCGGUCUUUGCUUCGACCGACGCAUUUCCUCCUGCUUGCGGACGCCGCGUCCGGUUGGGUUUGUGCAAGUCGGCCAUGAGGGCAGGCGCCGGAAGGUGGCCGGGGACGUUGCUUUUCGUCCCCGGUUGUUGUCCAGCCUGUCUGAGGCGCGACACCCGACUGAGGUUGAACUGUUCCUUUGUGGGAACUUGCCGUCCCCUUCGGAGCAGAUGCCGACAAGUGUUUCCCGGAGUGCCCCUCCCACUGUUUCAGUGCAGGGUGCUUUGGGUUCACGGUUGGGGUGCUGCGGCUAGCGGCGAGCGAGUCGGUUGCCCACCCGACCCGUCUUGAAACACGGACCAAGGAGUYUAACAUGUGCGCGAGUCAUGGGGUCUUGGAUAGGCCCAAAGGCGCAAUGAAAGUGAGGGUCGACUUCCUGUCGGCUGUGUCGGGAUCUCCCGUCUUUUGUGGCGGGAGAGCACCGACGGUCCGUCCUGUUCGAUUUAUCGAGAGGGCGGAAUCGGAGCGUACACGUUGGGACCCGAAAGACGCCGAACUAUGCCUGGGCAGGACGAAGCCAGAGGAAAC
rnacentral:rRNA from 1 species